rnacentral:lncRNA from 1 species
GGUUAACCGAACCGGUUAAUUGGUUAACCGAUUAACCGGUCAAUCUCAACAAAUUGAUUUCUGCAGCUAGGGUUUUCAAAAGAUAGCAGCAGCAGACGCCUUCUUUCCCGUCAGCCUGCCCGCUGCCUUUCCCGUCAGUCGCCGGCGCGGCCAGCGCGGUCCGCGGUGGCUGCCAAUAUAGGGAGAUGAUAGAGAGAGAGAGAGAGACAGAGACAGAGACAGAGAGAGGUUGAGAGGCAGAGAGAGAUCGAUAGGGAAAAAGAGAGAUGAGAGGGGGGGCUUACCUGAGGUGGCUGAGGCAGGGAGGACGACAGGGAGACGUUCAGGCGGCGGCAGUAGCAUCGGCGGUGGCAGAGUUCAUCGGAGAAGGGGAACUGAAGGCGAAAAUUUAGAGAACCCUAGGUAGCUUUAAUUUGAGGAAUUGGGGAAAGAGAGAAGAUAUAAAGGAGGGGGAAGGAGAGGCGCGACCUCGCCACGCCGGAGGCGGCGAGAACCGGCGACGUCCGCCGGGGAAGGAAACGGCCCAAAGAGAAGCCCAAUACCCCAUUCCCUUUCUUCAACCUCGCUGAUACACUGAUACACACACCCUCAAACGGAUCUCUCUCUCUCUCUCACCAAAAUCCGCCCCUCCUCCCUCAGAAAUCCACCGCUGCGGAAGCUCGCCGGAGCAACGGC